UACGGGGGGGGCAAGCGUUGUUCGGAAUUACUGGGCGUAAAGGGCUCGUAGGUGGCCAACUAAGUCAGACGUGAAAUCCCUCGGCUUAACCGGGGAACUGCGUCUGAUACUGGAUGGCUUGAGUUUGGGAGAGGGACGCGGAAUUCCAGGUGUAGCGGUGAAAUGCGUAGAUAUCUGGAGGAACACCGGUGGCGAAGGCGGCGUCCUGGACCAACACUGACACUGAUGCGCGAAAGCGUGGGGAGCAAACAGG
rnacentral:rRNA from 1 species